rnacentral:rRNA from 1 species
GCGAACGCUGGCGGCAGGCUUAACACAUGCAAGUCGAACGGGCACUUCGGUGCUAGUGGCAGACGGGUGAGUAACACGUGGGAACGUACCUUUUGGUUCGGAAUAAUCCAGGGAAACUUGGACUAAUACCGGAUACGCCCUUCGGGGGAAAGAUUUAUCGCCGAAAGAUCGGCCCGCGUCUGAUUAGCUAGUUGGUGAGGUAAAGGCUCACCAAGGCGACGAUCAGUAGCUGGUCUGAGAGGAUGAUCAGCCACAUUGGGACUGAGACACGGCCCAAACUCCUACGGGAGGCAGCAGUGGGGAAUAUUGGACAAUGGGCGCAAGCCUGAUCCAGCCAUGCCGCGUGAGUGAUGAAGGCCUUAGGGUUGUAAAGCUCUUUUGUCCGGGAAGAUAAUGACUGUACCGGAAGAAUAAGCCCCGGCUAACUUCGU